CACGGGGGUUGCGAGCGUUGUCCGGAAUUACUAGGCGUAAAGGGCAGGCAGGCGGAUCCAUAAGUUUAUCGUUUAAGGCGUCGGCUUAACCGGCGUAGGGCGGUAGAUACUGUGGAUCUGGAAUGCGGUUGGGGAAGACAGAAUUCCUGGUGUAGCGGUGGAAUGCGCAGAGAUCAGGAGGAAUACCGAAGGCGAAGGCAGUCUUCCAAGCCGUUAUUGACGCUCAACUGCGAAGGUGUGGGUAUCAAACAGGAUUAGAUACCCGCGUAGUCCCU
rnacentral:rRNA from 1 species